GGACUACCAGGGUUUCUAAUCCCGUUUGCUCCCCUGGCUUUCGCGCCUCAGCGUCAGUAGAGGUCCAGCGCGCCGCUUUCGCCACCGGUGUUCCUUUUGAUAUCUACGCAUUUCACCGCUCCACCAAAAGUUCCGCACGCCCCUACCUCCCUCGAGACGGCCAGUAUCAGGGGCACUUCCACGGUUGAGCCGUGGGCUUUCACCUCUGACUUGACCGCCCGCCUACGCGCCCUUUAAGCCCAGUGAUUCCGAACAACGUUUGCACGGUUCGUCUUACCGCGGCUGCUGGCAC
rnacentral:rRNA from 1 species